GACGUAGGUGGCGAACGUUAUCCGGAAUUAUUGGGCGUAAAGGGUGCGUAGACGGUGUAGUAAGUUAGCAGUGGGAAAUCGAAGCUCAACUUCGUGGAAACUGUUAAUACUACUAUACUCGAGUACAGGAGAGGUUAACGGAACUCAAUGUGGAGCGGUAAAAUGCGUAGAUAUAUUGAAGAACACCAAUAACGGCGAAGGCAGUUAACUAUUCUGUUACUGACGUUGAGGCACGAAAGCGUGGGGAGCAAAAAGG
rnacentral:rRNA from 1 species